rnacentral:rRNA from 1 species
UACAGAGGUCUCAAUCGUUGUUCGGAUUCAUUGGGCGUAAAGGGUGCGUAGGCGGUCGCGCAAGUCGGAUGUGAAAUCUCAGGGCUCAACCCUGAAACUGCAUUCGAUACUGCGUGGCUAGAGUGCUGGAGAGGAGACUGGAAUUUACGGUGUAGCAGUGAAAUGCGUAGAUAUCGUAAGGAAGACCAGUGGCGAAGGCGAGUCUCUGGACAGCAACUGACGCUGAGGCACGAAGGCCAGGGGAGCAAACGGG